GACGAACGCUGGCGGCGUGCCUAAUACAUGCAAGUUGAGCGCUGAAGGUUGGUACUUGUCCCAACUGGAUGAGCAGUGAACGGGUGAGUAACGCGUGGGGAAUCUGCCUUUGAGCGGGGGACAACAUUUGGAAACGAAUGCUAAUACCGCAUAAAAACUUUAAACACAAGUUUUAAGUUUGAAAGAUGCAAUUGCAUCACUCAAAGAUGAUCCCGCGUUGUAUUAGCUAGUUGGUGAGGUAAAGGCUCACCAAGGCGAUGAUACAUAGCCGACCUGAGAGGGUGAUCGGCCACAUUGGGACUGAGACACGGCCCAAACUCCUACGGGAGGCAGCAGUAGGGAAUCUUCGGCAAUGGACGAAAGCCUGACCGAGGAACGCCGCGUGAGUGAAGAAGGUUUUCGGAUCGUAAAACUCUGUUGGUAGGGAAGAACGUUGGUGAGAGUGGAAAGCUCAUCAAGUGACGGUAACUACCCAGAAAGGGACGGCUAACUACGUG
rnacentral:rRNA from 1 species